AUUCUGUCGUAUCCAAUAAUUAUCCAAAAUUCGAUCCCGCUAUAUAAUCCGACUGGAAAAUGGAUCAUCGAAUGGGUUUUGGGCCCUGUUAGAGAAACCAAAGAGGUGGAGAGACGCAGGCACUAGAAAACGGAAGAAGAUUUUGGGCGGCACAUGUGUCAUUAUUGCCAAGGCCGUCAGAAUGAAAAGCGACAUCGUGUACUGGUUUUCCUUUCUUUGCAAGUAACCCCAAAAUCAGUAACGAGUCCAUAUAUGCACUUCCAACCCUGAGCUUCACAGCUCCCAAGCUCGCAAAUCCUUGCCAAUCUCAAAGGCCACAUAAGAAUCGACAGAAGCCUGCAAAAUCUGCCCAUAAGAGAGAUCCUCAUCAUCCCAAUCACUCAUGCUGAUAUCCUUCUCUAAUCUCACCCCCUCAUAGCCCAGACACUCCUUCACAAUCCUCUCCACUGAAGCUCUAUCAAGACUUUCUCCAUCAUCAGCCAACACAUAUUUCCUCAAAUCUAGAAGCCUGUGAAUGCUCAGCUCGUGUACUGACAUCAACAGCUUCUUCUCGUCCGAGCCAUUCCAAAUCCCAACGAAAGUGAUGUUCGGAUUUAAGAGAAAGCGGCGAAGAAUGCGUGGAACGGUAUCAGCUAGAGAGAGUUGGAAGAUCAAGCAGCGAGUUCCCACGCAGAGCUGGAGAGUAUCAGCUGGAGGAUCGUUUCCGUUCCAAGGAGUCCAUUGGACACCGACGCCGACGACAAGACGGCCCAUAUACCUUCGGCGGAGGAAGAGAGUGGUGUGGAGCCAUUUCCGAGCGACGGAGGCUGAGAAGGUGACAGUGACCUCGAUGGCAGUGCCGAAGAAGUCAACGAUGAAUAAGCUGUGGUCGUAU
rnacentral:misc_RNA from 1 species